rnacentral:rRNA from 1 species
CAUUUUCAGGAAAUAGCUUUGAUUUCGUUUUUUUAAACUAAAACCGUACUUAAACCGACACAGGUAAAUAAAUUUAGUAAAUUAAGAUGUUGAGUUAACUGUUGUUGAAGGAACUCGGCAAAAUGACUCCGUAACUUCGGGAUAAGGAGUGGCUUUUUUUGGGCAACCUUUUUAAGCUCACAGAAAAUCGGGAACAGCGACUGUUUAAUAAAAACACAGGUUUCUGCUAAUUUGUAAAAAGAUGUAUAGAAACUGACGCCUGCCCAGUGCUAAAAAACUAACGAAAAAAGUUUUGGCUUUAAUCCUAACUUUUAGUAAACGGCGGCUGUAACUCUGACGGUCCAAAGGUAGCGAAAUUCCUUGUCGGGUAAGUUCCGACCUGCACGAAUGGUGUAACGAUCUGGGCACUGUCUCAACCACGAGCUCGGUGAAAUUGUAGUAUCGGUGAAGAUGCCGGUUACCCGCAAUGGGACGAAAAGACCCCGUGAACCUUUACUAUAGCUUCGUAUUGACUUUGGAUAAGUAAUGUGUAGGAUAGGUGGGAGACUAUGAAAUGGCGUCGCUAGGCGUUGUGGAGUCGUUGUUGAAAUACCACCCUUUGCUUAUCUGAAGCCUAACCUCUUACGAGGAACAGUGCGUGGUGGGUAGUUUGACUGGGGUGGUCGCCUCCAAAAGAGUAACGGAGGCUUCUAAAGGUUCCCUCAACACGGUUGGCAAUCGUGUGUAGAGUGUAAUGGCAUAAGGGAGCUUGACUGAGAGACCUACAAGUCGACCAGGUACGAAAGUAGAGCAUAGUGAUCCGGCGGUUCCGCAUGGAAGGGCCGUCGCUCAAAGGAUAAAAGGUACUCCGGGAUAACAGGCUGAUCUCCCCCAAGAG